UUGGAGGGCAAGUCUGGUGCCAGCAGCCGCGGUAAUUCCAGCUCCAAUAGCGUAUAUUAAAGUUGUUGCAGUUAAAAAGCUCGUAGUUGAACUUCGGGGUUUACCCAUUGGUCAGGCUUAAUUGUCUGUACCGGUGAGAUGAAUCUCUACCUUCUGAGGAACUUUCAUGCCAUUUAUUUGGUGUGAUGGGAAAUCAGGACUGUUACCUUGAAAAAAUUAGAGUGUUUAAAGCAGGCUCACGCUUGAAUACAUUAGCAUGGAAUAAUGAAAUAGGACAUCCGAUUCUAUUUUGUUGGUUUCUAGGAUCGAUGUAAUGAUUAAUAGGGAUAGUUGGGGGCAUUAGUAUUCAAUUGUCAGAGGUGAAAUUCUUGGAUUUAUUGAAGACUAACUACUGCGAAAGCAUUUGCCAAGGAUGUUUUCAUUAAUCAAGAACGAAAGUUAGGGGAUCGAAGACGAUCAGAUACCGUCGUAGUCUUAACCAUAAACUAUGCCGACUAGGGAUCGGAUGAUGUUAAUUUUUUAAUGACUCAUUCGGCGCCUUACGGGAAAC
rnacentral:rRNA from 1 species